rnacentral:lncRNA from 1 species
UUCCUUUUCUCCUUCUCACAAUCUGGUUUAUUAAAAAAUACUUGAUGACGUUCUUCUUUAAUCUGAACUCCCAGAUAUCAUCGAGACCUGCCUGUUUAUUCUUUGGCGCCAUCUGGAGUAUUAUUUGUUACAUUGCACGCCAAUGGAUUCCCAAGAUUCAUUGUUUGCCUCUAGGACUUUAUUUAAAAGCAGAAGACUACAAGGUGAGCUGGUCUCAAAACAGCCAGAAAUGUGUAUAUAUUUUAGGGCCCUGAAAAGCCAGGUACUUCUUUCUUUCUGUUGUUUUUGUUUUCUUUUCUUUGAGCAAGCAAGGUCUUGUUUUAUUGUCCAGACAGGUCCUAAAAUCCUGGACUUAAAUGAACCAGUCUCCCGAUAGCUGGACUGUGGAUGUACACCACUAACUACUGUAAGCGACCUUAGUUUUAUGUGUCUCAGAUUACCCAGUGAAUUGAGUACUGGAGAGCUAAAUAGUAAACACAACUGCCUUUUGUAUCUUAUUUCCGCCCAUGAGAAAUGAUUCUGGAGCCUGUUGGUGGGUUGUCCUUCAUUUCCUGUAGUAGGUUUGUCUCGGCUGUAGAGUCACAUCACAGCUAAUUUUCUAGACGAAUAGACCCGGGCCGUUGUCUCUGUGCCAGGGUGGGCCUGAGUCGAUGAACACGCAUGCAUUAGACUCGUAGGGGAGUGUGAGACCCAUCCUAGCUGGAUGUCCUUCUCAGGCUUCCUUCCCUGCUCAGAGCUCGGCCUCAGGCCUCCUCACACCUUCUUCACGUGCAGAGCCUCUGCUGUGCAGGAGAUGCACUCGCAGAGCUGCUUCACUGUCUCUGAUCUCCAGACUCUCUUUUCCUCAGAACCCAAUCUGGACUUCAGAAGUGGACUAUCUCAAGUGAACCAGCACGAUAUAGACCAGGUAAGGCUCUGCUAUCAUAUUCUUUUCUCUGUAAGAGGAAAGCCUGCGUGAUGGUAAAGUAGAAAGUAAAUGUUUCCUUUCAUUUCCUAAAGACACUUUAAAAAAAAUAAUUUUAUUUUAUAUAUAUAUAUAUAUAUGAGAAAGUGUCUUUGUAUAUGCUUGUGUACAGUGUGUAUGCCUGAUGAAAGUGUCUUUGUAUAUGCAUGUGUACGGUGUGUAUGCCUGACACCCUGAUAGGCUAGAAGUGGGCUUCAGAGCUCCUGGAACUGGAGUUAGAGGUAGCUGUGAGCUGCCUGAUGUGGAUACUAGAAACUGAACCCUGGUUUCUGUAAGAGUAGCGAGUGUUCUUAACAGCAUAGUAUCUCUAGCCUGGCACUUAUUCUUAACAAAUU